GGUUUGACCUCGGAUCAGGUAGGGAUACCCGCUGAACUUAAGCAUAUCAA
rnacentral:rRNA from 1 species